rnacentral:tRNA from 1 species
GCCGGGAUAGCUCAGCUGGGAGAGCGACAGACUGAAGUUCUGCAGGUCGGGCGUUCGAGCCGCCCUCCUGGCA